rnacentral:rRNA from 1 species
AAUCUUGGCCAAUGGGGGCAACCCUGAUCCAGCAAUGCCGCGUGUGUGAAGAAGGUCUUCGGAUUGUAAUGCACUUUAAGUUGGGGGGAAGGGCUUUAGGUUAAUACCUUGAAGUUUUGACGUUACCAACAGAAUAAGCACCGGGUAACUCUUUGCCAGCAGCCGCGGUAAUACAGAGGGUGCAAGCGUUAAUCGGAAUUACUGGGCGUAAAGCGCGCGUAGGUGGUUCAGUAAGAUGGGUGUGAAAUCCCCGGGCUUAACCUGGGAACUGCUUUCAUAACUGCUGAGCUAGAGUACGGUAGAGGGUAGUGGAAUUUCCUGUGUAGCGGUGAAAUGCGUAGAUAUAGGAAGGAACACCAGUGGCGAAGGCGACUACCUGGACUGAUACUGACACUGAGGUGCGAAAGCGUGGGGAGCAAACA